rnacentral:misc_RNA from 1 species
CACCUCAAUCAGAAGAUCAGAACGCAAAUGACAAUCUCGGCAGAAACAAUUCCGGCAGGCAUCGAACUGGCAGACAUCGAACGCGAUCAGUGGGCGCGCUUCAAAGGACGACUGCGGACGAACGUCGGAGAGGAUUUCUACACCAGCUGGUUUGCCCGCAUGGACCUUGAGCGCAUCCAUGACGACUGCGUUCACAUGACGGUCCCGACCAAGUUCCUCAAGAGCUGGAUUCAGGCGCACUAUGCCGACCGGGUUCUGGCCUGCUGGCAGUCGGAAGCACCGAGCGUGAAGCGCGUUGAACUGACGGUGCGGACCGCGAUGCGCUGCGCAGCGCCCGUGAAGGACGCCAAGGCGCCGCUGGACCAGCGCCGGCCGGAGCUCGGCAAUGGCGCAAGCCGCCCGGCCCCCGAACUGCGCAACACCGCCACC